CUACGUAGGGGGCGAGCGUUGUCCGGAAUUAUUGGGCGUAAGGGGUUCGUAGGCGGUUAUUUAAGUCAGGUGUGAAAGGCGCAGGCUCAACCUGUGUAAGCACUUGAAACUGGGUAACUUGAGUUAAGGAGAGGAAAGUGGAAUUCCUAGUGUAGCGGUGAAAUGCGUAGAUAUUAGGAGGAAUACCAGUGGCGAAGGCGACUUUCUGGACUUAUACUGACGCUGAGGAACGGAAGCGUGGGGAGCAAACAGGAUUAGAUACCCUGGUAGUCCACGCCGUAAACGAUGAGUGCUAGGUGUUGGGGGUCAAACCUCGGUGCCGCAGCUAACGCAUUAAGCACUCCGCCUGGGGAGUACGUACGCAAGUAUGAA
rnacentral:rRNA from 1 species